UACGUAGGGUGCAAGCGUUGUCCGGAAUUAUUGGGCGUAAAGAGCUCGGUAGGCGGUUUGUCGCGUCGGCUGUGAAAACCCGAGGCUCAACCUCGGGCCUGCAGUCGAUACGGGCAAACUAGAGUGCGGUAGGGGAGACUGGAAUUCCUGGUGUAGCGGUGAAAAUGCGCAGAUAUCAGGAGGAACACCGGCGGCGAAGGCGGGUCUCUGGGCCGUAACUGACGCUGAGGAGCGAAAGCGUGGGGAGCGAACAGG
rnacentral:rRNA from 1 species